CGAUGCUUAAAAGAUCUUCUUCUAUCUUCUCAGUCUUCGAUCGAUCAUUCUCUGCUUCAUAGAGGAGGGGGUUCCCAGCUAACAAGGAAGCGGGAUUCAAAAUAGAGGUAAAUUCUAAACUGGACCGAGAUGGCCUAUACACCAAUUGACCGGCACCAUUCCUGAAGAAACGAAGAUCGUUGCAAGAAGACCCCCCACCAAGACGUGUAAAUGGCAGAAAUUUUACAGCAGUAGAACGAACCUUGGGCUUGACAUGACAGCACCUCGCGGCUCCCUUUCAAGAUGAACAAUGCGGCUAAGCGUGCAUCUGGGGCGGAUGUGCCGAUGGAUGGAGGCGGCUGCAUGCUGCAUCUAAGAGUUUAGUUCCAUGAGACUGAAUAAGAUGGCCUGAAACGAAGUAAAC
rnacentral:lncRNA from 1 species